GGCAAGGAAGCACUAACAUACAUCUCUUGUCAGGUGUUUCGGUUCCUUCAAGGAAUGAGAAGGGGCCAUACCUACAGACUGCGACGCUCACUCCCUUGCCUUAGGGAAAAGGAGGUGCUGCUGACAGUGAUGAAGGUUCUGCAAUCAGGAAAAUCACAGCAAAAGCAGACAAAACAGAGCUGGUUGUUCAAGGUAUUGGUGACUCAGCAGAGCAAAGGAUUGGCUUGCAAAGGAUUGCAACUAGAUCCAACACUUCCCCUAGAAAAGAGAGGCAAUUUGUUCACUGUCAUAAUCUCUUGUGAUACAGCCUGA
rnacentral:lncRNA from 1 species